GCUCCGGUGGCCUAGUGGUUAAACCGUCCGCCUCGUAUGCGGGAUGUCGUGGGUUAGAACCCCGACUGAGUCA